rnacentral:rRNA from 1 species
GAUCAUGGCUCAGGAUGAACGCUAGCGGCAGGCCUAAUACAUGCAAGUCAAGGGGUUCAGCAAUGGACACCGGCGGACGGGUGCGUAACGCGUACACAACGUACCCAAGGGCGGAGGAAAGCGGCGGGAAACUGCCGGUAAUACUCCAUGGCAUCACAUUUUGGCAUCAUUAUGUGAUUAAAGUACAAGCGCCCUUGGAUCGGUGUGCGUUCGAUUAGCUAGUUGGCGGGGUAACGGCCCACCAAGG